rnacentral:tRNA from 1 species
UCCCUGGCAGUCCAGUGGUUAGGACUCUGUGCUUCCACUACAGGGGGUGCAGGUUCAAUCCCUGGUUGGGGAA